rnacentral:rRNA from 1 species
UACGUAGGGUGCGAGCGUUGUCCGGAAUUACUGGGCGUAAAGAGCUCGUAGGCGGUUUGUCGCGUCGGCCGUGAAAUCUCCACGCUUAACGUGGAGCGUGCGGUCGAUACGGGCAGACUUGAGUUCGGUAGGGGAGACUGGAAUUCCUGGUGUAGCGGUGAAAUGCGCAGAUAUCAGGAGGAACACCGGUGGCGAAGGCGGGUCUCUGGGCCGAUACUGACGCUGAGGAGCGAAAGCGUGGGGAGCGAACAGG